rnacentral:lncRNA from 1 species
AUAUAUAUAUAUAUAUAUAGAGUAGGAUUGCUGUGCUCUCAGGAGCACGGAGGUCUCCGUAGACCUCCGUGCUCCUGAGCCAUUUUCGAUGAUGAAAUUUUUGAAUCGACAAUUAGCUCUGUUAGACUUGAUCUGGCGUAUUUGAAGUUUCUAGAAAAUAAUUUUUGCGAUUUUUCGAUAUCAUUUUUCUAGCAAUUGAAAGGAUUCAAAAUCAAUAAUUUUUAACGACUGAAAAUAAAAAUUCUAUAAAAAGUAGUGAUAUAGUACUAAAAUUUGUUAUCAGAAAUAUUGAUCUUGUUGUAGAUAGUAUAAAGAAUUUUCUAUCAAAAUUUCAUCUGAUUUGAAUACUUCAACACCGUUAAACUUGAAAACGGCAAAUAUCAACUAUUAAAAAUUAUUGAUUUUGAACUCUUUCGAUCACUAGAUAAAUAAUAUCGAAAAAUCGUAAAAACUAUUUCUAGAAACUUCAAAUACACUAGAUCAAAUUUAACGGAGCCGAUCAUCGAUUCGAAAAUUUCAUCAUCGAAAACAGCUCAGGAGUAGCAAUCCUGCUAUAUAUAUAUAUAUAUAUAUAUAUAUAUAUAUAUAUAUAGUAAUAGAAUAUUUUCAAGUAGGUGCGAAUUUAUUUAUUUAUUUAUUUAUUUAUUUUUUUAGAGAUAGGUAGCAUGCUACCUGCUUCGUUUAUUUCAUUAAGAAAUAAACUUAGCUGAAAAUGUGAAUCAAUUAGGAUUCGAACUUAAGAUCUCGGAUACCAACCAUCAAGUCUUUUGUCACUUGCUUUAGAAACGGUCGGUAGAUGCGAAUUUAUUUACUAACUAUACAUUAUAUAUU